UAGGGAACCUUCCACAAUGGGCGAAAGCCUGAUGGAGCAACGCCGCGUGUGUGAUGAAGGGUUUCGGCUCGUAAAACACUGUUGUAAGAGAAGAAUGACAUUGAGAGUAACUGUUCAAUGUGUGACGGUAUCUUACCAGAAAGGAACGGCUAAAUACGUGCCAA
rnacentral:rRNA from 1 species